rnacentral:rRNA from 1 species
GAUGAACGCUGGCGGCGUGCCUAAUACAUGCAAGUCGAGCGAACAGAUGAGGAGCUUGCUCCUCUGACGUGAGCGGCGGACGGGUGAGUAACACGUGGAUAACCUACCGAUAAGACUGGGAUAACUUCGGGAAACCGGAGCUAAUACCGGAUAAGAUAUUGAACCACAAGGUUCAAUAGUAAAAUACGGUUUUGCUACCACUUAUAGAUGGAUCCGCGCCGCAUUAGCUAGUUGGUAAGGUAACGCCUUACCAAGGCAACGAUGCGUAGCCGACCUGGGAGGGUGAUCGGCCACCCUGGAACUGAGACACGGUCCAGACUCCUACGGGAGGCAGCAUUAGGGAAUCUUCCGCAAUGGGCGAAAGCCUGACGGAGCAACGCCGCGUGAGUGAUGAAGGUCUUCGGAUCGUAAACCUCUGUUAUUAGGGAAGAACAAAUGUGUAAGUAACUAUGCACGUCUUGACGGUACCUAAUCAGAAAGCCACGGCUAACUACGUG